CAAUAGCGUAUAUUAAAGUUGUUGCAGUUAAAAAGCUCGUAGUUGGAUCUGUGGCGUACGGUGGGCUCCGGGCACUUGUUGUCUGAGUAGCUUGCCGUUGCCAUCCUUGGGUGGAACCUGUGUGGCAUUAGGUUGUCGUGCAGGGGAUGCCCAUCGCUUACUGUGAAAAAAUUAGAGUGUUCAAAGCAGGCUUAUGCCGUUGAAUAUAUUAGCAUGGAAUAAUGAGAUAGGACUUUUUCGCUAUUUUGUUGGUUUGCGCGAAGAGGUAAUGAUUAAUAGGGACAGUUGGGGGUAUUCGUAUUCCAUUGUCAGAGGUGAAAUUCUUGGAUUUUUGGAAGACGAACUACUGCGAAAGCAUUUACCAAGGAUGUUUUCAUUAA
rnacentral:rRNA from 1 species